CUCAAUGGGCGUUGUGCAGGGCAGCCGCGAGGCUGGUCGGUAUCUCAAGCACCGAUAUUUCCACCCCUGUACAACGCCCACCCUU
rnacentral:antisense_RNA from 1 species